ensembl:lncRNA MAGEA4-AS1 MAGEA4 antisense RNA 1
ACCAGUUCAACACAGUCCUCAGUCUCACCCAGGACUUUCUGUGUUUUGUUGCUUAGAUUUUAUUGCUUAUAUUGUUGUUUUUUCUUUCUUUCUUUUUCUCUUCUAUAAUUUUCCAGAGUUGAUUUGGGAACCAGAGAACAGCAGCCUAAGUGUGACUGUAAUUUUUGGCAGCUACAGAUUCCCAAGACAACUAGGAAGGGAAAAGGAACCCUUCAAGGAAGUUCCAGGAAAAACGUCUCUCCCAAAAAGACCACCGCUUCAGGAAAACCUGAGGAAGGGAGUGGGCCAACAGUAUCCUGCCACUGUGACCAGCUGAACGAGGAACUCCAUCAAAAUGAGCCACAGCUGGACCAAAACAGUGAGGAGACCUCCACCUUCUUCAGUGUCUCCCUGAGCAGUCAGUAAUUUCAGGGCAAGCUGAGAGGUCUCCAGAGGUCUAACCCCAGAUAAAUAGCCAACAGGGUCUAGAGUACAUUUUAUACCCAACAGGGUAUACCCCAUGGUGAUCAAAAUAAAAUAAACCUGUUGUAAAAUG